rnacentral:rRNA from 1 species
GCCCGGGAACUACGAGCAAAGCUUAAAACCCAAAGGACUUGACGGUGCCCCAAAUCCCCCUAGAGGAGCCUGUCCUAUAACCGAUAAUCCACGUUUAACCUCACCACUUCUAGCUUAUUCAGCCUGUAUACUUCCGUCGUCAGCUUACCACGUGAGCGAAACAAGUUAGCUUAAUGUCCAUAGUAUUCUCGUCAAUACGUCAGGUCAAAGUGCAGCAUAUGAUGUGGGAUAAAGAUUGGCUACACUUUUUAGUAUAAAAGAAACGGGAAACAGUAUGAAACUCUGUUGAAAGGCGGAUUUAGAAGUAAAAAGAAAUCAUAAAGUUCAUUUUAACCAGGCACUGGGACGCGU